rnacentral:rRNA from 1 species
AGUGGCGAACGGGUGAGUAACACGUGAGUAACCUGCCCUUGACUCUGGGAUAAGCCUGGGAAACUGGGUCUAAUACCGGAUAUGACCGUCUGACGCAUGUCAGGUGGUGGAAAGCUUUUGUGGUUUUGGAUGGACUCGCGGCCUAUCAGCUUGUUGGUGGGGUAAUGGCCUACCAAGGCGACGACGGGUAGCCGGCCUGAGAGGGUGACCGGCCACACUGGGACUGAGACACGGCCCAGACUCCUACGGGAGGCAGCAGUGGGGAAUAUUGCACAAUGGGCGCAAGCCUGAUGCAGCGACGCCGCGUGAGGGAUGACGGCCUUCGGGUUGUAAACCUCUUUCAGUAGGGAAGAAGCGAAAGUGACGGUACCUGCAGAAGAAGCGCCGGCUAACUACGUGCCAGCAGCCGCGGUAAUACGUAGGGCGCAAGCGUUAUCCGGAAUUAUUGGGCGUAAAGAGCUCGUAGGCGGUUUGUCGCGUCUGCUGUGAAAGACCGGGGCUCAACUCCGGUUCUGCAGUGGGUACGGGCAGACUAGAGUGCAGUAGGGGAGACUGGAAUUCCUGGUGUAGCGGUGAAAUGCGCAGAUAUCAGGAGGAACACCGAUGGCGAAGGCAGGUCUCUGGGCUGUAACUGACGCUGAGGAGCGAAAGCAUGGGGAGCGAACAGGAUUAGAUACCCUGGUAGUCCAUGCCGUAAACGUUGGGCACUAGGUGUGGGGGACAUUCCACGUUUUCCGCGCCGUAGCUAACGCAUUAAGUGCCCCGCCUGGGGAGUACGGCCGCAAGGCUAAAACUCAAAGGAAUUGACGGGGGCCCGCACAAGCGGCGGAGCAUGCGGAUUAAUUCGAUGCAACGCGAAGAACCUUACCAAGGCUUGACAUGAACCGGAAAGACCUGGAAACAGGUGCCCCGCUUGCGGUCGGUUUACAGGUGGUGCAUGGUUGUCGUCAGCUCGUGUCGUGAGAUGUUGGGUUAAGUCCCGCAACGAGCGCAACCCUCGUUCUAUGUUGCCAGCGCGUUAUGGCGGGGACUCAUAGGAGACUGCCGGGGUCAACUCGGAGGAAGGUGGGGACGACGUCAAAUCAUCAUGCCCCUUAUGUCUUGGGCUUCACGCAUGCUACAAUGGCCGGUACAAAGGGUUGCGAUACUGUGAGGUGGAGCUAAUCCCAAAAAGCCGGUCUCAGUUCGGAUUGGGGUCUGCAACUCGACCCCAUGAAGUCGGAGUCGCUAGUAAUCGCAGAUCAGCAACGCUGCGGUGAAUACGUUCCCGGGCCUUGUACACACCGCCCGUCAAGUCACGAAAGUUGGUA